rnacentral:tRNA from 1 species
UCCCUGGUGGUCCAGUUUUAAGAUGCUGCAUUUCCAAUGCAGGGGCACAGGUUCAAUCCCUGGUUGGGGAA